ensembl:rRNA 5S_rRNA 5S ribosomal RNA
UGCUACAGCCAUACCAUCCUGAAUGCGCCCGAUCUCAUCUGAUCUCAGAAGCUAAGCAGGGUUGGGCCUAAUCAGUACAUGGAUGGGAGGCUGCCUGAGAAUACCAGGUACUGUAGGCU